rnacentral:rRNA from 1 species
UACGUAGGGUGCGAGCGUUGUCCGGAAUUAUUGGGCGUAAAGGGCUCGUAGGCGGUCUGUCGCGUCGGGAGUGAAAACUCAGGGCUUAACCCUGAGCCUGCUUCCGAUACGGGCAGACUAGAGGUAUGCAGGGGAGAACGGAAUUCCUGGUGUAGCGGUGAAAUGCGCAGAUAUCAGGAGGAACACCAGUGGCGAAGGCGGUUCUCUGGGCAUGUUCUGACGCUGAGGAGCGAAAGUGUGGGGAGCGAACAGG